GGUGAAGUUUGGAAAUCAUGAGGGGUAUAGAAAUGAUUCAAGAUCCGAGAAGGAUUACACCAAACACAAGGUUGGACAACUUGAAGAAAUCAAUUGUUAAGAACCAUGAAUAUAGAGGAAGAGAAGUGAUUGGAACGUUUGGAGUCUCAUGCAUUAACAGCUGUGCCUGAAGAUAAAGAUGAAGACAGAGAAGAAGAGCAACAAGACCACAAAUUAGUCUUGAGCAAAACAAAAUUCUCAAAGAGGAAAACACAUGCAGCUCGCUGCUCUUUAAAGAACCAUAAAUAACUUUCAAGAACAUUGUUCAAACAGCUGGACAUAAGGAAUGUUUUCAUCAAAUAAACGGCUUUUGGAAUCGAAGUCAAUAAUCUGUUCUUUCCCCAGCUACUCUGAGUGCCGGAAAUUAAAAGCAGUUCAUUUUAAUCUGGGACAAUAAAUUGCCCCAUUUGCAAAAUACCGAAAAAAUGUACUUUUGAGGGACGUCAUAAGGCGAUUAAGGGAA